GACCUCUUUUGUUUUUUUUGCUCUUUUCGAGAUUUUUUUCUCUCCACUUUCUCAAGAUCCAACUCAGUCUUCUUCUUUGAAAAAGAUGGAAAAACAGAGGGUGCUGAACUCGCAGGAGAAGAGGAAGGAGAAG
rnacentral:ribozyme from 13 species